UAGGGAAUCUUCCACAAUGGACGCAAGUCUGAUGGAGCAACGCCGCGUGAGUGAAGAAGGUUUUCGGAUCGUAAAGCUCUGUUGUUGGUGAAGAAGGAUAGAGGUAGUAACUGGCCUUUAUUUGACGGUAAUCAACCAGAAAGUCACGGCUAACUACGUGCCAGCAGCCGCGGUAAUACGUAGGUGGCAAGCGUUGUCCGGAUUUAUUGGGCGUAAAGCGAGCGCAGGCGGAAGAAUAAGUCUGAUGUGAAAGCCCUCGGCUUAACCGAGGAAUUGCAUCGGAAACUGUUUUUCUUGAGUGCAGAAGAGGAGAGUGGAACUCCAUGUGUAGCGGUGGAAUGCGUAGAUAUAUGGAAGAACACCAGUGGCGAAGGCGGCUCUCUGGUCUGCAACUGACGCUGAGGCUCGAAAGCAUGGGUAGCGAACAGGAUUAGAUACCCUGGUAGUCCAUGCCGUAAACGAUGAGUGCUAAGUGUUGGGAGGUUUUCCGCCUCUCAGUGCUGCAGCUAACGCAUU
rnacentral:rRNA from 1 species